UCUGAUUCUCCACCUCUUCUUCAUCCUCCAUCCCCCUUUUACUUCUCUCUUCCCCUCUCUCCUCCCUCCCGCCUCCUUUCUCCCUCUCCCCCUCCCUCUCUCCUCUGAAUAAGCAAGCUUUUGCCUCUAAAAGUCACAAGUAAUCCUCGUGUGUGACAGAAAGAGAGAGAGAGAGAGAGAGAGAGAGAGAGAGAGAAACGAGCUGGCCGAGAGGAGCAGAAGGCAGGAGGGGAAAUCUGGCACAACGGCUGGGAGAGGAAACUUGAUGCUUCUGGGCCACCAUUUGCCAGGGCCUCGCUCAAGAUGAGACUGCAAAGAAGCAUAAAUGAAUAGACAAUCCAACCAACCAAAGACCGGGGGCAGCAGCAGGCCAGCAAGACGGCAUCUUCUCCUUCCCAGCCUAGAAGCCCUGUGAAAUCGAGGAUCUUCCCCCUAAAACACAUACACACAAGAUAUGUGCAAUCAAGCUGCCACCGCUUGGUAAAAAGCUCAUGGUGCCUAACCAAAAAGGAUCAGGAGCAGAUCCUUGAAUCAGCUGUCACUUCUAUAGAAUGGGAUGGUUUUUUUUUUCCUUCCUCCUUAACCUGCGCUGGAAAUUGCCGUUGGCUUUAUACAUCUCUAUAGAGAGAGGCUAAAGAGUCUUGCGUGAGAAAGAAGCAAUUUACAAUGCAAAUAGAGGCCUGUGAAGGGACGGAUGCUGCUGCUCACUCGUAACAGCUUGCUGCACCUUAAUAGCUGGUUUUAUUUUCUGAUAUUAAUAGAUGAAUUGUUGGCUAACGCUGCCGGAGAUUACUUGCUGAAAGGAAAAAAAAAGUUCGGAAUAAACUCUGAAGGCAACAGAUCUCGUUUGGAUAUUUUAGCCGCGCACACACACAAACAGAAACCAGGUCAUAUUUACAUAAAAGGAGGAAUCUUAAGCGCGGCAAGUAUCCUGGACGACUACUCCUCGGUACUGCCAGAAAGGAUCGGGACCUGGAGUCUGGCAAGAGGAAGACAGAGGCCUGUGUGGGAAGCGAGUUGUUAUCUUUGGUUAUCUAGCUGUAUGAGUGUAUUGGUCUUCAUAAAGCUAGAUAACCGAAAGUAAAAACUCCUUCAAGAUCGCCGGGGAGCGUGUGAGAGUGAAAGACUACAACCGAGAGACAGUAAAAACCAGAAAGGUCAGGAAUACUUAUUGAAUCUAACUUUGUUUUUGUUUUGUUUUUUCCCUGAUGAUUAAAGGUGGGAUGAGAGGAAAUUAAGUGACACACAUAUGCUAAAAUAUCAAGGUGCCAGAUAUAUCUUGAGAGGGGUUGUUGCAGCUGCAAAGAAGUGUAUAGUGCUAAUGAGUAAAGAUGCAUGUGCAGUUUGUUCUAUUUUAAGGCAAAAGUUUAUAUAUCAGGGAUUUUUUUCUUAGAAAGCUGUUGCAGAGAUGUCUGGUACCUAGUUUAAAAAUGAUUCUAUAACAUGUAGACUUGGGCAGUUCCUUCCUGAGGCCCCUCCCCCUCAAAAUUGGAAGAUUGUGCUUGGAAAUUACUUUACAUGUAUUUGGGCUGUCUGUCAAUUUGUACGAAAUUAGACUUUCAGAAAAGUUUAUACCGGAAGGUUAGUAAUUUAUAUAUACUGAGGACUUAGAGCUAGCA
ensembl:lncRNA